GGGGGGGGGGGGGGGGGGGGGGGGGGGGGGGGGGGGGGGGGGGGGGGGGGGGGGGGGGGGGGGGGGGGGGGGGGGGGGGGGGGGGGGGGGGGGGGGGCAGCUGCCCCAGCGAGAGCGGCCGCGCCGCCGAGCCGCUGCGCGCGCUGGACGUGCCGCAAACGCCGCUCAAGGUAACCAUUACUGUGUGCAGUCAAAUGGGGAGUCUUGGUAUUAGCAUUGCUGGUGGAAAGGGCUCAUCUUCAUGUAAAGAAAGUGAUGAGGGGAUCCUGAUUGCACGGCUGCCAAAAGAUGGUCCACCAGACUUGGCUGGGGUACAAGCAGGAGACAGAGUGGCUGAGGCCACCUUUGUUUCAGAGCCUGCUGCCCUUGAUGCUGGUCCUACUGGAGCUUCCCCAAAGGGCAGCCCUUUCCCUACAGUCAACCAUGUCAUAACAAUACCUCGGAUAAUCCUCACACGCCCCUCCACUUCAGAUGAAGAUGCUGAGCAGCUGCCCCCAGACCCUGAUGACUUUGAGCCCGAGGAGCCUGACUGCACAGGAGGCCAUGGCUAUUCAGACUGUCUGAGCAGUGCUUUUUAUCCUCCCUAAUAAAGUACUUUUCUGGCAGGAGUUCAUGGGUGGUUUUCUUUCCCAUUGUUUGAUUACAUUAAUGUAGUACUUGAACCACUAUGCCUUAUUUAUAGUGAAAACCAUUACAUGGAGGAUGGAUUUGUG
rnacentral:lncRNA from 12 species